GUAACGCGUGGGAACGUGCCCUUCACUACGGAAUAGUCCCGGGAAAACUGGGUUUAAUACCGUAUACGCCCUUCGGGGGAAAGAAUUUCGGUGAAGGAUCGGCCCGCGUCUGAUUAGGUAGUUGGUGGGGUAACGGCCUACCAAGCCUACGAUCAGUAGCUGGUUUGAGAGGAUGAUCAGCCACACUGGGACUGAGACACGGCCCAGACUCCUACGGGAGGCAGCAGUGGGGAAUCUUAGACAAUGGGGGCAACCCUGAUCUAGCCAUGCCGCGUGAGUGACGAAGGCCCUAGGGUCGUAAAGCUCUUUCACCAGGGAAGAUAAUGACGGUACCUGGAGAAGAAACCCCGGCUAACUCCGUGCCAGCAGCCGCGGUAAUACGGAGGGGGUUAGCGUUGUUCGGAAUUACUGGGCGUAAAGCGCGCGUAGGCGGACUGUUAAGUCAGGGGUGAAAUCCCGGGGCUCAACCCCGGAACUGCCCUUGAUACUGGCAGUCUCGAGUUCGAGAGAGGUGAGUGGAACUCCGAGUGUAGAGGUGAAAUUCGUAGAUAUUCGGAAGAACACCAGUGGCGAAGGCGGCUCACUGGCUCGAUACUGACGCUGAGGUGCGAAAGUGUGGGGAGCAAACAGGAUUAGAUACCCUGGUAGUCCACACCGUAAACGAUGAAUGCCAGACGCCGGGCAGCAUGCUGUUCGGUGUCACACCUAACGGAUUAAGCAUUCCGCCUGGGGAGUAUGGCUGCAAGGUUAAAACUCAAUGGAAUUGACGGGGGUCCGCACAAUCGGUGGAGCAGGUGGUUUAAUUCGAAGCAACGCGCUGAACCUUACCAACCCCUGACAUCCUAGUUGCGGUUACCGGAGACGGUUUCCUUCAGUUAGGCUGGACGACUGACAGGUGUUGCAUGGCAGUCGUCAGCUCGUGUAGUGAGAUGUUCGGUUAAGUCCGGCAAC
rnacentral:rRNA from 1 species